UGAGAGAGAAAUGGAGGAUAUCUUUUCAAACGCGCAGUAGGGCACGCGCAGGUUUAGUGAGGUGACAGCUGGCGUUAGCUUUGAGCAGUCACCAGUCACAGUCAGUCGUUGAGACCGAGCGCGAUUGUGUUGUGAUAGUUGGGUUGCAGUUAUUAGCGCGGUUGCACAACACGGUUGGGUGAGGCUUGUUUUGGUUAAUCGCUGUUGACUUCAACCUGCCUGUGGUCUGGCGAUCUUACCCGACGACAUGGAAAACGUUCAACUAAAUUUCACAGUGGGGUCAUGAGAUUCAAGGCUUCUUUGUACUUACAGCGUUGUCCGAUCAUCUCAAGGAUCUUGCCGGGAUGCUGCCUUCUGUUCCUUACUUACUUCCUGAAACUACUCAUCUGUUGUCCCUCCAUGUGAAGGACAUCUUCAGAGAUCUUCAAUCAGUGACCUGGAAGCUAGCAGCUAUUCAUCUUGCUGUAUCAGCUAUUCUUCCUUCAUUAUUUCCUGAGUAUUUCUUAAUGUUACUCUUAUUUUAUGCUUACUUCGUGAAAAGAUUUAAUGACAAAUCUAUAAAUAAUUAUAAAAUUAAUCGAAUAAAACAGUAUAAUUGAUACAUGAAAACUUGUCAGAUUGGUAUUGAAAUUAUUCAUAUUUACUAUUAAAUAACGAAAGGAAAAAGCUAUUUAAACUAAGCUUUUGUAUGUACUAAAAGGUUGUCAGUUACAGCUAACAACCUCAUAAGCAAUACAGUGAUGUUUCAAAGGGUUAUUUUAUAUUUGUUUUCUGCAUCUCCAAGGGGUUUCUGCCCAGUAUGUGUAUCUGGGCUUAUUUUAAAACUAUCUGAUGACAAACUGGUUUGUAUUAGGAAUGUUAACCUUUUAGCUGUUUCACAAAGAUUUAUUGUCAUUCCUGUUUUUGUGGAAUACUCUUUCAUGCCAACAUCGUUGUGCAAUAAAUUUGCUGUAGUGCUUUUAUUUUUAUAUAUUACAUAUGUAUAUACCUAUUUGUAGAUAGUGAAAUUGUCAAUACAAAUAAAAUUUCGUGUUUUUUAUUUACAUUCAGUAAAAAUUUAUAAAAUUGUGAACAGCCAUAGAGUUAAAGUUUACUGCCUUUUUUCAUUUAGGCUGUUAGAAAACAUUUUAGAAACCUGUUAAUUUAAGAUGGGCCAAUAUCAAGAGCUGAACAUAUUUAAAAAAAUACACAAAGGCGAUUGAAUAAAAAUAUUAUGUAACAACUUUGAUAGCAUCAGCUAGAGUUUUAAUUAAUAUAGAAAAAGCCACCAGUAGCUAAUUUUCUGAAUGAAUACUGUAUUACACCACCAACAGGAUUAAUAUUUGUUGCAGGUGAACUGGGUAUGGGUGGAUGGGCCAGCAGGAACGCAUGCUGAAUAGAGCUGUGCACAAUCAACAUGGCAAAAAAACGGCUGUUAACAAUUAAGCAAACAAACAUGUUUAACUUUUUCUUUUAGGUUAAAUUUGUACUGUUUUAUUA